AACUUUGAGGGGAAGGGGGUUUUGCCUCACUAAAAUACCCAGACCAAAUUUAUUUUGUGCCAUAACCUUCAAGUAUUUGGCGUGAGAACCCUUCGUCAGAGCCAAGGUAUAGCCAUCACUGGUCUCCUUUCCCGCCGUCCUUACCCUUCCCUUUGUCAGAUCCAACUGAGUCCGCUCCAUCGUUGUUCCGGUCACCAGGCUCCUCCCUCAGCCGUGUAGCUCCCGUGCACGAAGGUAAAGUAGAAGGGGUCGUCGGAGUCUUCUCCUUCUGCCGUGCAUGUGUGUGACGUCGUCGGCAUCAUCCCAAUCCAUCCGUCCCUGUGUCAUCCUUGGCAGCCUUCUCCCCUUUGGCGGUGCUUCGCGUUGCCGAUUGCAAAAGACUCCCCUCUCAGUGAUGGCGGCAGCAAAUUGCAUGCGGUUUCUCCAUCUGCUGCAAUUGUUCAAAAUAGCUGCGAUUGGCAUCCGAUUUCUUCAUUGUGACGCAGAAUCAACUGGAUUAGUGUCAAUUCAAUGAAAUUCUGCCGCAAACCCCAACCCAAUACUUUGAUUUCACCCUAAAUCACUUCAGUACCUAAAAUCAGAAAGAAGAAGAACCUGCGACAGGAGAGUGGAAGCGUAAGAACCCCUGUGCUCAAACACACCGUGCACCGCUGUGUCCCCGUGGAGUCGCGUGGCUACCAAUCCAACCUCCUCUCACCACCGUCGACCGUUCUCCUCUACUCUAUAGUGCGUGAAACCCUUAAUCCCUCAUCCUCGGUGUGCGUAACCCACCCCUGUUCUCGCAUCCACCGUGCACGUCUGUGCCAUCUCUGAGUUGCGUGGCUGCCCAGACGUCCUCCUCUCACCGUUGUCGACCGUUCCCCUCUCCUCCAACAAAUCUGAGUUAUCGUGGCCUCUUCCCUAUCACUGCCUCCAAAAAUUUAUCUCGCAAACAUGCCCUUUUUUCACCUGAUGUUAUCACUGUCGGUAAUCAAACUGAGGAUGCAGCAAAAGAAGGUAGCAAUUCAGGUUCUUCAUCUUCGAUGUUCCAUGGUGCAAAUGAGAAUAAAGCAGAUUGGAGAAUCGAGAGUGGUUCUUGUCUAUCUCCUCGGCCAGAUUACCAACAAAAGAAGGCAAGGCUCCUUUUCAUGCAAGAGGAGGUUGGUUUUCACUCCCUUUAACAUGAUUAGUUAAUUUAGGAUUAGCUAUAUGUUGAUUCUAGUCUUAAUUUGAUUUGGUUAAGAUUAUCUGCUAUUGUUAGUUGAGUUAAGGUUAGAAUUAGUGUUAGUUUAUACAUAAUUAAACAUGCUGUUAAGAGUUUCUUGAGUUUGAAUUUUAAUUUGUUUGGAUUGAUUGACUGAUACUUUGCUGAGUCCCUGUGAAAUGCUGCUAAUUUUUCAUGUAAUUGGUGCUGAAUUUUGAUUUGGUGUUGCAAAGAAUGCUUGUUAGUGUUAUUUUGUGUUAUUUAUGCUUUUGCAUGCCAAGUGUUCGACAAUAUGCCAAGUGUUUUGAA